rnacentral:lncRNA from 1 species
CUUCACAAACAUAGUUUAGCACAUUCCCCAAAAUAGAAUACUAUACAGACUUAGAUCUUAAGCAUAUGAACUCUGAAUCUUACUAGGGGAUAGGGUAUUAGGGCUGACAUUUAAUUACAACUAAAAAAAUGGCUAUCAAAUAAUUAACACAUGUAAUGCUGAAUAAAAGAAAUCAAAAUCUGGCAGGCAAGUCCAAUUUCAUUCAAAGCACACUGAAUCCUUCAUUUUUGCACUUUCAAAGUUCAAACAUACCUGAAAAGAUAAAGAAAAGACCAACAGAGCAUCAGCAGGGAAAUCUAAAUGACAGCAGGUCUUAAAGCAGCAGCAAAACAACUUAUCAGUAAGCUUGUCAUAUUUUGAACCCCGAAGAAAGGAGCAAUUCAAAAACCAAAGAAAAAUGAAUACGCCAACUUCAAUGGAACAAUAAUGGUGAUUUUUUUUGUAUUUUUCUUUCUGAUUUUUCAGACUCUCUCCAUGUUUUGUGUUUCUUCAGCCAUUUCUAACUUUUUAUCUUGUAAAAAACACCGCUCAUUUUGCUGAAAGCAAGCUUAUAUAGAGGGUCCUAGGGCAGCAGAAUUGAUUUCUCUAUUUUAUCAAUUCACCCUUUCCCCCAAUUUUCAUUUUUCACUUUUAACCCUAAAUUUUAAAACCAAUUUCUGAAACUACCCAAUUCCCUCUUUCCUGGAAGCUUCCCAAUCAGUUUUUAAAAGAUUCCCUUAAUAUAUAUUCCCCAAAUGCCCUUUAGUCCCCUAUUAAUUACUCUCAAGAACCAAACAUGGGUCAAGUUAAAACAGAACCAAACUUAACCCCAUGGGCCUGACAGACCAACAUUUACCUUUCCCCUCUUUAGGCUUUUGACUGACAGAGCCCAAGUUGUAAUUCAAAACCAACAGAAAACCACAAGAAAAUGGGUCAAUCGAAGUUAUAGGAACUCCUGAAGCCAUGAUUCCAAAGAAAAUAAAAGCAGGAGGAAAUUUGAGCAAAAUCAAACAAACAAAAUCAAAUGUAUUAAAAACAUGCUGACUAAAAUAAACUUAAGAUUAACAUGCACGCAGACGCGAUUGAAAAAUAGAAAAAAAAAAGAAUCAGAAGGAGAUGAGGAUGAGAAUAAAGCGAAAGACGAAAGAAAGAAAAAUGGAUGGAAAAUACCUAGAAUAGGCAGACGGACAAUGGGCUUGAAUGGACCUUCAACACUUUCGAUUUUGAGCCAAAAUUGGCAUUAAUCGCACGAGAACAGGCGAACAACACCAAUUUCAACCCUAAUCGUUCAUUGAAGCUCAAAAAUUUGGAAGAUUUUUCUUUUCUUAUACUUUUCUUUUAGAUCCAAAAUUGGUCCGAUUUGGUGAGGAUUUGAGAAGAUAUGGUGGUAGAUUGGGAAUUAGGUGUGGGUGGUGGUUGUGUGAUAAAGAUUUGGGAUUGAUUGGAGAAGUCAGUCGCGGGUAAAAAUGGUAGAAGUUUUUGAGGGCGGCAGGCUAGGGUUAAAGGUCUGAGAGAUGGGGGAAGUGAAG